UACGUAGGCAGCGAGCGUUGUUCGGAAUUACUGGGCGUAAAGCGCGUGUAGGCGGUUGCCCAAGUCGGGUGUGAAAGCCUUGAGCUCAACUCAAGAAAUGCACUCGGUACUGGGUGACUAGAGGACCGGAGAGGAUAGUGGAAUUCCCAGUGUAGUGGUGAAAUACGUAGAGAUUGGGAAGAACACCAGUGGCGAAGGCGGCUAUCUGGACGGUUUCUGACGCUAAGACGCGAAAGCGUGGGGAGCAAACAGG
rnacentral:rRNA from 1 species